rnacentral:sRNA from 2 species
GCUGAUCUUUGUUAGGUGAGGCUACUGCAUGGAAAUACGCCCCUACCCGGAAACAUCGAGAGAUGCCAAUGGGUCAACAGGCUUUAUCGGGUUAAGGUAUAGCUUAACGGGGCUGGGUAAUCCUAAGCCAUGCAGUGCUAAAACUCAACGAGUAAAAGACAGUC